AGCGAACGCUGGCGGCAGGCCUAACACAUGCAAGUCGAACGGAUCCUUCGGGAUUAGUGGCGGACGGGUGAGUAACGCGUGGGAACGUGCCCUUUGGUUCGGAACAACUCAGGGAAACUUGAGCUAAUACCGGAUGUGCCCUACGGGGGAAAGAUUUAUCGCCAUUGGAGCGGCCCGCGUCUGAUUAGCUAGUUGGUGAGGUAACGGCCCACCAAGGCGACGAUCAGUAGCUGGUCUGAGAGGAUGAUCAGCCACACUGGGACUGAGACACGGCCCAGACUUCUACGAGGGGCAGCAGCGGGGAAGCGCGCGCAAUGGGCGAAAGCCUGACGCAGCCAUGCCGCGUGAAUGAUGAGGGUCUUAGGAUUGUAAAAUUCUUUCCGCGGCGACGAUAAUGACGGUACCCGCAGAAGAAGCUCCGGCUAACUUCG
rnacentral:rRNA from 1 species